AAAAAGUGAAAGAUGGCAUGCCAAGAUCUUGUUGUUGUUGUGGCACUUAUUUUCAUGGUUGUUGUUGGGGCAUUUGUAGUCGAAUCGUCACCUUCACCAGUCCCUUCCAAGGCAUCUUCACCUUCGAAGUCACCAUCUACUUCUUCUCAGGCUUCAUCCCCCAAGUCCCCCUCCAUUAAGUCACUGUCACAAGACUCCAAUGGCUCAUCUUUUUCACCAUCAAAAUCCCACGAAGGAGCACCCAAGUCAUCUCAUCCUGGUGCCCCAAUGAGCUCUUCAAGCUCCUCUUCCCCUAAUCCUAGUCAAAGCGACAACCCUAACGCCAACAAAGGAUACUCUUCUGAGGUUGAGUCUCCUGAAGAGGUCUCAUCACCUCCUUGACCAACUGCCAAUGAUGAAGUUUCUCACUCCCCUACUCCUAGCCCUGAAAGCACGGGUGAUGUUGUCGAUAGUGAGACCCUUGCACCAGCACCCUCUAAUGCCAUUGAAAUAAAGUCCACCACUUGUAUUGUCAGUGUUGUAACUCUUGUCGGACUCUUCCUCUUUUAAGCUUCACAUGCAUAAGUUAAUGGAAGGCCUUGAGAUGUGCUUUAUAGUUACCUUUAAUAUUUAUUAAAAAAGUCCUAUUUAUAUGCUAAUUAAAAUUGUACUUUUGAAGCCUGAAAUAAAAUUUAUAAUAUAUAUUUUUUAAUUAAUGUACUAAUAGUGAAUCAAAACCUGUUAAUAUCUGGCAUUAAAUAAGUUUGAAGCACUGAUUAAGCUUGUUUAAGAAUUUUCAUGAUUAAGGUCUAACUUGAGGUAGUUAAAGCUUGUCCGUAUUCAAGCUCAAGCUUAGCCUAAUAAUUACGUUUAGGUUAAUAAUAUAUACUAAAGAUGAUAACAUAUUUUAAUAAUAUAAAAACAUUUAAAAUAUACAUUAAAAAUAAAAGUCUCGAUAAGGCUCACGAGCUAUUCAAGCAAGUAUUUUGUAAUAGCCUAAUUUUAGGGUUAGUCAAGACAGUGGUUUUUGGACCACAAUAUGAGGUCAAAAUAAUUAUUUUAUUAUUUUAUUAAUGUUUACAGUAUCAUAGAAUGUUCGUGUAAAAAUUUCGUAAAGAGAUUUUAUCGUUUAAGUGUUUAAUUGGUAAAAAGGACUAAAUCGCUUAAAGCGUAAAAAUUGAGUUCUAAUAGCUAAAAGUGUUUAAAUUCUCUAGAAUUUAAAGGAGGAAGUCCUUAUGUGUUAAUUAGUCCAAUUAUGAGAUAGUGGCUAAAAAUGGUUUGGUAAUGUGGUAAAUUGAAUUGAUUUUUAAGGUUAAAUUUGUAAUAUGGUAAUUAAGUAAAGUAAAAAUAAAAUAAACAAAGGUGUCAUCUUCCACCCAUUAUAUUUCCACCAAAAAAUGAGAAAGAAAACACCAUGGAUAUGGCUUCAAAGGUUUGGCCAUCUUAAGAUUAAAUUAUAAGUUCAUUUUUGACUCGGUUUUUAAUAAUUUCUACGUUUUUUAGAUCAUUGCUUCGAAAUCUAGCUAGCCCGUACCUCUGAUUUCAAAACUGUUAAAGAUUUUGAUAGUUGUCAUUGUUGAAUAUAUGUGUUAAUUGAAGUUUGAUGAUGAAAUAUGAAAUUUUGAUGAUAGUUUUACAUGUUCAGUAAAGUGAUUUUGAGUAAAAAUGUCAAUUUUGGACUAAAUUAAGAAAAAUGAUAGAUCGUGUGGUAAAAGUGUGAAUAAAUAAAAAAUGUUGGCUUUUAUGGAAAUAAUAAAAAUUCAGCUAGCUUGGGUUUGUGUUUAAUUUUAUGAAAUUGUGAUUUUAUGUGACAAUGACUGAAUUGCAAAAAUGUGAAAGUUUAGGGGUAAAAGUGUAAAAUUGCCAUAAUGUGUAAAUUGUGUUAAAUUGAGUGAAUUAGUGAUUAAAUAAGGUAAUUUUUUUAAUAUAUAGAUUGAGAAAAAUAAGAUUUGGACCUAGAAAUAGGACAAAAACUAUGUAUUGGAUUAGUCGACCUAAUUCGUCGUUUCAACGAACGAGGUAAGUUCAUAUGUUAAAUAAUGUUCUUAAAUUGUGUUCUAAAUGUCCAUUUAUCAUUGAAUUGAUAUGAAUAUUGAUUGGAUGAGUACGACCAUGAAUCGAAAAAGUUACGACGUUUGAAAGUCCCGUACGAACAUUUGGAAUAGCUUAGGAUACUAAGAUGUGAUUACGUGUAAGACCAUGUCUGGGACAUUGGCAUUCUUACGUGAUUCGUGUAAGACCAUGUAUGGGACAUUGGCAUCGAUACGAUAUUCGUGUAAGACCAUGUUUGGGAUGUUGGCAUCGAUAUGAAAUUCGUGUAAGACCAUAGUUGGCUAUUGGCAUUGAUAUGUGAUAACAUGUAAGACCAUAUCUGGGAUAUGGCAUUGUGCGAGUUAUACGAGAUUUUUGAGUAUCCUUAGCAAUUCUUAAUGGUUCAACGGGGAAAUUCAAGAGGAGAAUAAAAGUGUAAACGAAAUAAGUGGUACAGGUAUGUACGAUACUCAUACGUAUAUUGAAUGAAAGAAGAUUGAUAAAUAGAUGUGAGCUCGUGUAUAUUACAUGGAAAUGUUUGAGUUUAUGUAAGUGUUUGAUUUAUAUAAAUGCUUAUUGAGGAUAUCGAAUUUCACAUUAUGAGUAAGUGGAUAGUUAUGAGAAAUCCAUAUAGUUGGUUUAUGUGGCAUGUAUAGGCUAGUUGAUUGGAUGAGUACGACCAUGAAUCGAAAAAGUUACGACGUUUGAAAGUCCCGUACGAACAUUUGAAAUAGCUUAGGAUACUAAGAUGUGAUUACGUGUAAGACCAUGUCUGGGACAUUGGCAUUCUUACGUGAUUCGUGUAAGACCAUGUAUGGGACAUUGGCAUCGAUACGAUAUUCGUGUAAGACCAUGUCUGGGAUGUUGGCAUCGAUAUGAAAUUCGUGUAAGACCAUAGUUGGCUAUUGGCAUUGAUAUGUGAUAACAUGUAAGACCAUAUCUGGGAUAUGGCAUUGUGCGAGUUAUACGAGAUUUUUGAGUAUCCUUAGCAAUUCUUAAUGGUUCAACGGGGAAAUUCAAGAGGAGAAUAAAAGUGUAAACGAAAUAAGUGGUACAGGUAUGUACGAUACUCAUACGUAUAUGGAAUGAAAGAAGAUUGAUAAAUAGAUGUGAGCUCGUGUAUAUUACAUGGAAAUGUUUGAGUUUAUGUAAGUGUUUGAUUUAUAUAAAUGCUUAUUGAGGAUAUCGAAUUUCACAUUAUGAGUAAGGUUUUGUUAUAAGUAUCAAUAUGAUUACUAACAAUUUUUUUAAUUCACUAUUUUAAAAUAAAAAUGCAAGUAUAAACAAACAUUAACUAUUCAAUUAGAUUUUGAUUCCAAAGAAAAAAAUCAUAACAAAUAGAAGUUAAACAAGCCUAAUAAAAAAUAGAACAAAACCUUAAUAUAGUAUUGUGAGAUGUUAAAGGUUCAAUUUUAGUUCAUAAGAAAAUCACUUCUCUUACAUGCACAUAUUAUAUAUAUAUAUCAAUCUUUUAAUAAACAAAGAUAACAAGUUAUAAGAAAAUAUUAAAAAGAAAAAGUGAAAGAUGGCAUGCCAAGAUCUUGUUGUUGUUGUGGCACUUAUUUUCAUGGUUGUUGUUGGGGCAUUUGUAGUCGAAUCGUCACCUUCACCAGUCCCUUCCAAGGCAUCUUCACCUUCGAAGUCACCAUCUCCUUCUUCUCUGGCUUCAUCCCCCAAGUCCCCCUCCAUUAAGUCACCGUCACAAGACUCCAAUGGCUCAUCUUUUUCACCAUCAAAAUCCCACGAAGGAGCACCCAAGUCAUCUCAUCCUGGUGCCCCAAUGAGCUCUUCAAGCUCCUCUUCCCCUAAUCCUAGUCAAAGCGACAACCCUAACGCCAACAAAGGAUACUCUUCCGAGGUUGAGUCUCCUGAAGAGGUCUCAUCACCUCCUUGACCAACUGCCAAUGAUGAAGUUUCUCACUCCCCUACUCCUAGCCCUGAAAGCACGGGUGAUGUUGUCGAUAGUGAGACCCUUGCACCAGCACCCUCUAAUGCCAUUGAAAUAAAGUCCACCACUUGUAUUGUCAGUGUUGUAACUCUUGUCGGACUCUUCCUCUUUUAAGCUUCACAUGCAUAAGUUCAUGGAAGGCCUUGAGAUGUGCUUUAUAGUUACCUUUAAUAUUUAUUAAAAAAAGUCCUAUUUAUAUGCUAAUUAAAAUUGUACUUUUGAAGCCUGAAAUAAAAUUUAUAAUAUAUAUUUUUUAAUUAAUGUACUAAUAGUGAAUCAAAACCUGUUAAUAUCUGGCAUUAAAUAAGUUUGAAGCACUGAUUAAGCUUGUUUAAGAAUUUUCAUGCUUAAGGUCUAACUUGAGGUAGUUAAAGCUUUUCCGUAUUCAAGCUCAAGCUUAGCCUAAUAAUUAAGUUUAGGUUAAUAAUAUAUACUAAAGAUGAUAACAUAUUUUAAUAAUAUAAAAACAUUUAAAUAUAUAUUAAAAAUAAAAGUCUCGAUAAGGCUCACGAGCUAUUCAGGCAAGUAUUUUGUAAUAGCCUAAUUUUAGGGUUAGUCAAGACAAUGGUUUUUGGACCACAAUAUGAGGUCAAAAUAAUUAUUUUAUUAUUUUAUUAAUGUUUACAGUAUCAUAGAAUGUUCGUGUAAAAAUUUCGUAAAGAAAUUUUAUCGUUUAAGUGUUUAAUUGGUAAAAAGGACUAAAUCGCUUAAAGCGUAAAAAUUGAGUUCUAAUAGCUAAAAGUGUUUAGAUUCUCUAGAAUUUAAAGGAGGAAGUCCUUAUGUGUUAAUUAGUCCAAUUAUGAGAUAGUGGCUGAAAAUGGUUUGGUAAUGUGGUAAAUUGAAUUAAUUUUUAAGGUUAAAUUUGUAAUAUGGUAAUUACGUAAAGUAAAAAUAAAAUAAACAAAGGUGUCAACUUCCACCCAUUAUUUUUCCACCAAAAAAUGAGAAAGAAAACACCAUGGAUAUGCCUUCAAAGGUUUGGCCAUCUUAAGAUUAAAUUGUAAGUUCAUUUUUGACUCGGUUUUUAAUAAUUUCUACGUUUUUUAGAUCAUUGCUUCGAAAUCUAGCUAGCCCGUACCUCUGAUUUCAAAACUGUUAAAGAUUUUGAUAGUUGUCAUUGUUGAAUAUAUGUGUUAAUUGAAGUUUGAUGAUGAAAUAUGAAAUUUUGAUGAUAGUUUUACAUGUUCAGUAAAGUGAUUUUGAGUAAAAAUGUCAAUUUUGGACUAAAUUAAGAAAAAUGAUAGAUCGUGUGGUAAAAGUGUGAAUAAAUAAAAAAUGUUGGCUUUUAUGGAAAUAAUAAAAAUUCAGCUAGCUUGGGUUUGUGUUUAAUUUUAUGAAAUUGUGAUUUUAUGUGACAAGGACUGAAUUGCAAAAAUGUGAAAGUUUAGGGGCAAAAGUGUAAAAUUUCCAUAAUGUGUAAAUUGUGUUAAAUUGAGUGAAUUAGUGAUUAAAUAAGGUAAUUUUUUUAAUAUAUAGAUUGAGAAAAAUAAGAUUUGGACCUAGAAAUAGGACAAAAACUAUGUAUUGGAUUAGUCGACCUAAUUCGUCGUUUCAACGAACGAGGUAAGUUCAUAUGUUAAAUAAUGUUCUUAAAUUGUGUUCUAAAUGUCCAUUUAUCAUUGAAUUGAUAUGAAUAUUGAUUGGAUGAGUACGACCAUGAAUCGAAAAAGUUACGACGUUUGAAAGUCCCGUACGAACAUUUGGAAUAGCUUAGGAUACUAAGAUGUGAUUACGUGUAAGACCAUGUCUGGGACAUUGGCAUUCUUACGUGAUUCGUGUAAGACCAUGUAUGGGACAUUGGCAUCGAUACGAUAUUCGUGUAAGACCAUGUCUGGGAUGUUGGCAUCGAUAUGAAAUUCGUGUAAGACCAUAGUUGGCUAUUGGCAUUGAUAUGUGAUAACAUGUAAGACCAUAUCUGGGAUAUGGCAUUGUGCGAGUUAUACGAGAUUUUUGAGUAUCCUUAGCAAUUCUUAAUGGUUCAACGGGGAAAUUCAAGAGGAGAAUAAAAGUGUAAACGAAAUAAGUGGUACAGGUAUGUACGAUACUCAUACGUAUAUUGAAUGAAAGAAGAUUGAUAAAUAGAUGUGAGCUCUUGUAUAUUACAUGGAAAUGUUUGAGUUUAUGUAAGUGUUUGAUUUAUAUAAAUGCUUAUUGAGGAUAUCGAAUUUCACAUUAUGAGUAAGUGGAUAGUUAUGAGAAAUCCAUAUAGUUGGUUUAUGUGGCAUGUAUAGGCUAGUUGAUUGGAUGAGUACGACCAUGAAUCGAAAAAGUUACGACGUUUGAAAGUCCCGUACGAACAUUUGAAAUAGCUUAGGAUACUAAGAUGUGAUUACGUGUAAGACCAUGUCUGGGACAUUGGCAUUCUUACGUGAUUCGUGUAAGACCAUGUAUGGGACAUUGGCAUCGAUACGAUAUUCGUGUAAGACCAUGUCUGGGAUGUUGGCAUCGAUAUGAAAUUCGUGUAAGACCAUAGUUGGCUAUUGGCAUUGAUAUGUGAUAACAUGUAAGACCAUAUCUGGGAUAUGGCAUUGUGCGAGUUAUACGAGAUUUUUGAGUAUCCUUAGCAAUUCUUAAUGGUUCAACGGGGAAAUUCAAGAGGAGAAUAAAAGUGUAAACGAAAUAAGUGGUACAGGUAUGUACGAUACUCAUACGUAUAUGGAAUGAAAGAAGAUUGAUAAAUAGAUGUGAGCUCGUGUAUAUUACAUGGAAAUGUUUGAGUUUAUGUAAGUGUUUGAUUUAUAUAAAUGCUUAUUGAGGAUAUCGAAUUUCACAUUAUGAGUAAGGUUUUGUUAUAAGUAUCAAUAUGAUUACUAACAAUUUUUUUAAUUCACUAUUUUAAAAUAAAAAUGCAAGUAUAAACAAACAUUAACUAUUCAAUUAGAUUUUGAUUCCAAAGAAAAAAAUCAUAACAAAUAGAAGUUAAACAAGCCUAAUAAAAAAUAGAACAAAACCUUAAUAUAGUAUUGUGAGAUGUUAAAGGUUCAAUUUUAGUUCAUAAGAAAAUCACUUCUCUUACAUGCACAUAUUAUAUAUAUAUAUCAAUCUUUUAAUAAACAAAGAUAACAAGUUAUAAGAAAAUAUUAAAAAGAAAAAGUGAAAGAUGGCAUGCCAAGAUCUUGUUGUUGUUGUGGCACUUAUUUUCAUGGUUGUUGUUGGGCAUUUGUAGUCGAAUCGUCACCUUCACCAGUCCCUUCCAAGGCAUCUUCACCUUCGAAGUCACCAUCUCCUUCUUCUCUGGCUUCAUCCCCCAAGUCCCCCUCCAUUAAGUCACCGUCACAAGACUCCUAUGGCUCAUCUUUUUCACCAUCAAAAUCCCACGAAGGAGCACCCAAGUCAUCUCAUCCUGGUGCCCCAAUGAGCUCUUCAAGCUCCUCUUCCCCUAAUCCUAGUCAAAGCGACAACCCUAACGCCAACAAAGGAUACUCUUCCGAGGUUGAGUCUCCUGAAGAGGUCUCAUCACCUCCUUCACCAACUGCCAAUGAUGAAGUUUCUCACUCCCCUACUCCUAGCCCUGAAAGCACGGGUGAUGUUGUCGAUAGUGAGACCCUUGCACCAGCACCCUCUAAUGCCAUUGAAAUAAAGUCCACCACUUGUAUUGUCAGUGUUGUAACUCUUGUCGGACUCUUCCUCUUUUAAGCUUCACAUGCAUAAGUUCAUGGAAGGCCUUGAGAUGUGCUUUAUAGUUACCUUUAAUAUUUAUUAAAAAAAGUCCUAUUUAUAUGCUAAUUAAAAUUGUACUUUUGAAGCCUGAAAUAAAAUUUAUAAUAUAUAUUUUUUAAUUAA
rnacentral:lncRNA from 1 species